GCUGUGAUUUUUCCUCCUUUUCUCUUGGCAGCUAGGGAAGAGAGAUGGUUCUGGAGUCCUGUGAUUGGUUCUGCCCUAGGCUAAUGCUGCGUGGGUGGAUAGAGGAGCAGAGAGCAGGAAGCACCAGGGUUGGCAAUGGGUCUGGCCCUCUGAGGUUCCAAGGAGGAAGCAGCCAAAUGCUAUUGGGAUCCAGGCAGAAUCCUGAGGGCAGAGGUGGGAGAGUCCAGAGGUGAAAGCAGGAUGGGGCAGCCCUAAUUGUAGCAAGGUGGCCAGGCAGAAGCCGAGACAGGACAGAGCAACCGACAGCAGUGAGAGCCUGGUGCUGGACACCAGAGGCUGAACAGGAGGUGGCUGCAGGAGAGCGUGCCGCUUGGCCAGCUGCACAGGGGACAAUCAGAGCUGCAGAGCAGAACCCCUCCAGUGGUUGGCUGCCUGUGCCCUCGGCUGCCCGCUGAACCCCCCUGCCAACAUAAUGCAGUCCUCUCUGCAGAGGCUGAGAAGGGCCAGGCUGCCAAUCCCUCGUCCACUCGCGUGCUCACACAAGGCGGGUUCCUUCCCGGCCAGCCCCAGGGUAUUUUUAAGUACAGAGUGGAGGGGAUGAGGGGACGUGUUGCAUGGUGACUCAUCCUGGCGGCGGGGACUGGCAGUGCAGAGUGAAUGGCUGGGUGGCAGGCUGUGUUUGCAGUAGGAAGCAGGCAGAGCCCACUGUUCCACAGGAGGGCUCGCCUGGGGCUGCGACUGGUCCCCACAGUGGGGCUUCUGCCUGAUGCCCCGGGGGGGCCGGCCGAGUGCCCUCACUCACAUGUCCCAAAGGGCACCACUCUGUGCUUCUUAAUGGACCCCUUGAGCUUAAUAAAAAUCAAGUCAUUCUCCAGAAUGGUUCCGGUUUCUUAGAGAAACUAGAGACCCUGUGUUGGGAGAACAAGAAAUACUCCUUUGCCACUUUCAUUCAAGGUCAUUCUGGCACUGCCCUAUGUCACCAGGUCUGGAAUGGAGUUCUUGUCCUGCAUGAGGACCUAGCGUGAAAAUAACAAAAAGGCCUUUGUACCAAGGCCCAUUGGUAAAUUGGGCUACUCCUCACAUGGGAGGGAGUCAUUACCUGCUUGUCACCUUGGCUGCCAGGUCGCAUCUGGCAGGCUUCCAGAAGCUGCUUUCUGCUAUGCUGUUGGCAUCCAUGCCGUAGUUAGAUGACCUGGGAUUCCUCUCCACCCACCACGGCCUUUGUCAGGUUAGGAGCCUGGCUACAGACAGGACAUACAGAGAGUGGCGUUGUUGCUGUGUCUGUCCUAGCAGAGCCACAGAGGCCUGUGGGCUCUGCAAGAAAUCACAACUCCUUUGUGUGAUUGGGAGUUGGUGGGGCUGAAGUCCAGCAAGGAGGAGGUGACGACACACUAUUGUUCACGCUUUCGGAGCAGUCUGCCUGCUCCUUAGUACUUGAGGGAGUGGGUAAGUUGGUUGAGUUUGUUUUUCUUUGGAAAACUGCAUGGCGUCAAGAAGCAGUCCAUCUUCUAUGCUUUAAAAAAAUGGAGUACCUAAGCCAGGUAUGGUGGUGCAUGACGGGAAUCUCAAGUACCAGGGAGGCUGAGACAGGAAGGUUCCAAGUUGGAGGCCAGCCAGCCCAGGCUAUUUAACUAGCAUUUGUCUCAAAAUAAAUGAAUAAUAAAGGUCUUGGGCUGGAGGUGGGGUUAGCCCAGAGGUAGAGUAUGUUUUUAGCAUGCACAAAGCCCUCGGGUUUGACCCCAGCACUAGUGUGGGAUGGAAAGAAGGGGAAGCUACGCAUGGCAGUGCCUCUGUAGUCUCCGCUACUAGAGAGGCUAAGGCAGAAGGAUUGCUCGAUCCAAGGAGUUCCAGCCCCACCUGAGCAACAUAGCAAGACACCAACUCAAAAAAAUAAAACGCUUCUUUCCAUUUGCUUAAAAGGAGCCCCGGUACCUUUCUCCUUGAAGCUAAUCACUGUCAGAUACUACAAGGGCCAUGGUCUCCUCCACCCCAGGGACAGACAUAGAUUAAGUCUCUAAGGCCGGAGGAACGGAGGCCACCUUCAAAGCCAGGCAUCUGACUCAGGAGACCAGGCUCAAGACCACUGGCCUUAAUUGCAUCUUCUCUGAACCAGUAAGCUCUUCAAGUAAUGUAAAUUUUCACUGGGUCACAGUUCUAAAAGCCCUCCUUGGAUGCCUGUGUUUACCCAUCACUCCUUGGUCAGUUACCUGCUGUCUGCCUCAGAUUGCCGUGGAAACCAAAGGGAUCACAGAGGCCUUUUCAGAUACAGCGUGGACUUCUCACUGCGGGCAGUCUGGCUUGGGAGGAGGCAUGAUGCCCUGAACGAGUGAGCAGCAAUGUGCCGUGGGCAGUGGUUGUGUGCCCCAGCGGAUGCCACAGACCAGAGAGACAAAGGGAGUUAGAGGAGCGAGAGUCCCCCUGUGCAGGUGGCCCGUCCCUGAGCAGGCUGUGAGGGUCCCGGGACAGGAAGAUCAGAGAAGAAGGAGGACGCCCCUCACUCUGGACUUCUGGUGAAGCUUCCUGUGCCAGACAGCGCUGGACACUGUGAGGGUGCAGCCAGGGUGUCGAGAGAGCACAGGAAGAGGGACAUGGUGGUCCAUGAGAGCUGGUGCCAGCCUGCCUGGGGGGUUUGCAGACAUGUGGGUCGGGGCAGGGCAGCCAGGAAAAGCAUACAGAAAAGCGCAGGAAAUGUAUGUGUCCCAGGGAGAUGGGAGAAUGCCUGGGAUUGGGGGAAAAUUUUUUUUAAUAAAGAAACAACAGCUGAGUGUGGUGAAGUAUGCCUGUAAUCCAGGCACUCUAGGAG
rnacentral:lncRNA from 1 species